rnacentral:rRNA from 1 species
GACGAACGCUGGCGGCGUGCUUAACACAUGCAAGUCGAACGGAAAGGCCUUUUCGGAGGUACUCGAGUGGCGAACGGGUGAGUAACACGUGGGUGAUCUGCCCUGCACUCUGGGAUAAGCCUGGGAAACUGGGUCUAAUACCGGAUAGGACCGCACUUUAGUGUGUGUGGUGGAAAGAUUUUUCGGUGUAGGAUGAGCCCGCGGCCUAUCAGCUUGUUGGUGGGGUAAUGGCCUACCAAGGCGGCGACGGGUAGCCGGACUGAGAGGUUGGUCGGCCACAUUGGGACUGAGAUACGGCCCAGACUCCUACGGGAGGCAGCAGUGGGGAAUAUUGCACGAUGGGCGCAGGCCUGAUGCAGCGACGCCGCGUGGGGGUUGACGGCCUUCGGGUUGUAAACUCCUUUCGCCAGGGACGAAGCGUUUUGUGACGGUACCUGGAGAAGAAGCACCGGCUAACUACGUG